rnacentral:rRNA from 1 species
CUCGACGGUACCGACAGAAUAAGCACCGGCUAACUCUGUGCCAGCAGCCGCGGUAAUACAGAGGGUGCUAGCGUUAAUCGGAUUUACUGGGCGUAAAGCGUGCGUAGGCGGUUUGAUAAGUCGGUUGUGAAAGCCCCGGGCUCAACCUGGGAAUUGCGGCCGAUACUGUCAGACUAGAAAACGGUAGAGGGAGGCGGAACUCCAGGUGUAGCGGUGAAAUGCGUAGAGAUCUGGAGGAAUACCGAUGGCGAAGGCAG